CAAUGAUCUUUGAGGCUGUAGCUGUGACCUUCACCCUGGAGAAGUGGCAUUUGUUGCAUGGUUCUCAGAAGAAGCCCUAAAAGGGAAGUGAUGCAGGAAACCUUCAGGAACCUGGCCUCUAUAGGAAAAGAAGACCAGAAUACUGACAAUAACAAAAAUCCUUGGAGAGACCUGAGAUGUAGAAUGGUCAGAAGACUCUGUGAUCAUAAACAAGGUGGUCAGUGUGGAGAAAUCUUCAGUCUUCAGAUCGUGUUCUGAACAAGAAACACUUCUACAGAUGGAUCAGCAUGUGAGAAUGGUGUGUGUGGAGAAGCCCUCAUUGGUCAGUCAUUUAUCUGUAAAUGUGCCCCUUAGAGCUUACCUUCAGCACAUACCCUAUGGGUAUCAGGAAUAUGGGUAGAAGCUGUAUAAACUUAAGUCGUGUGGGAAAGCCUGCAAUUAUCCCUCGUCCCAGGAGAAGCGUAAAAAGACUCACACUGGAAAGAUACUCUAUUUCUGUAAGCGAUGUGGGAAAGAAAGCCUUUAGUUCUUACAGAUACUUUCAAAUACACAAAAGAAAAACAGUGGAAAUUAGGCCUUUGUGUGUAAACAAUGUGGGAAAGUCUUUAGUUCUUCCUCUUUGUGUUCAAAUACAUGAAAGAUCUCACACUGCAGAGAAAUUCUGUUAUGUAAUCAAUGUGGGAAAACAUUCUGUCAUCCCAUUUCCCUCAGAAAACAUGAAAGGGCUCACACUGCAGAGAUACCUUAUGAAAUGUAAGCAAUGUGGGUUCCAGUAAUCUCAAGUACAUAAAAGAACUCACACUGGAGAGAAACCCUAUGUGU